rnacentral:rRNA from 1 species
GACGAACGCUGGCGGCGUGCCUAACACAUGCAAGUCGAGCGGGGUGGUUCUGAAGGGCAACCGGAGGGAUCACCUAGCGGCGAACGGGUGAGUAACGCGUGGAUAACCUACCUCAAGGUCUGGGAUAACAGCUCGAAAGGGCUGCUAAUACCGGAUGUGGUGCAUAUGCUGCAUGGUAGAUGCACUAAAGGGGAAACCCGCCAUGAGAUGGGUCCGCGUCCCAUCAGCUAGUUGGUGGGGUAAAGGCCUACCAAGGCGACGACGGGUAGCCGGCCUGAGAGGGUGACCGGCCACACUGGGACUGAGACACGGCCCAGACUCCUACGGGGGGCAGCAGUGGGGAAUAUUGCACAAUGGGCGAAAGCCUGAUGCAGCGACGCCGCGUGGGCGAAGAAGGCCUUCGGGUUGUAAGCCUGUCUGGAGGGACGAAGUAAUGACGGUACCUCCGGAGGAAGCCACGGCUAACUACGUGCCAGCAGCCGCGGUAACAUACUCGUA